rnacentral:rRNA from 1 species
CCUACGGGUGGCAGCAGUGGGGGAUAUUGCACAAUGGGGGGAACCCUGAUGCAGCGACGCCGCGUUGGUGAAGGAGCGUUUCGGCGCGUAAAGCCCUUUCGGCAGGGAUGAAGGAGGACGGUACCUGACUAAGACGCCCCGGCAAACUACGUGCCCGCCGCCGCGGUCAUACGUAGGGGGCAGGCGUUAUCCGGAUUUACUGGGGGUAAAGGGGGCGCAGACGGCAGCGCAAGCCAGGAGUGAAAGCCCGGGGCCCAACCCCGGGACUGCUCUUGAACCCGGGCGGCUGGAGGGCAGGAGGGGCAGGCGGAAUUCCUGGUGUAGCGGUGAAAUGCGUAGAUAUCAGGAGGAACACCGGUGGCGAAGGCGGCCUGCUGGACUGCGACUGACGUUGAGGCCCGAAAGCGUGGGGAGCAAACAGGAUUAGAUACCCCAGUAGUC